UUCUUACAACAUAGUUUUAAUGCAUCAAAUUCCAUUAUAAAUUUUUAGUUAAGCAGACUCGAGCUAGAGUAGUAUUGGGAUGGGUGACUAUCUGGGAAAUCUUAGUAUUUUACAUGC
rnacentral:rRNA from 1 species